rnacentral:rRNA from 1 species
CCUACGGGUGACAGCAGUGAGGAAUAUUGGUCAAUGGGCGAGAGCCUGAACCAGCCAAGUCGCGUGAAGGAUGACGGAUCUAUGGUUUGUAAACUUCUUUUAUAUGGGAAUAAAGUGAGGAACGUGUUCCUUUUUGUAUGUACCAUAUGAAUAAGCAUCGGCUAACUCCGUGCCAGCAGCCGCGGUAAUACGGAGGAUGCGAGCGUUAUCCGGAUUUAUUGGGUUUAAAGGGUGCGUAGGUGGUUAAUUAAGUCAGCGGUGAAAGUUUGUGGCUCAACCAUAAAAUUGCCGUUGAAACUGGUUGACUUGAGUAUAUUUGAGGUAGGCGGAAUGCGUGGUGUAGCGGUGAAAUGCAUAGAUAUCACGCAGAACUCCGAUUGCGAAGGCAGCUUACUAAACUAUAACUGACACUGAAGCACGAAAGCGUGGGUAUCAAACAGGAUUAGAUACCCCAGUAGUC